UACAGAGGGGGCAAGCGUUGUUCGGAAUUACUGGGCGUAAAGCGCGUGUAGGCGGUUGUCCAAGUUGGAUGUGAAAUCCUUGAGCUCAACUCAAGAAAUGCAUUCAGGACUGGAUGACUAGAGGACCGGAGAGGAUAGUGGAAUUCCCAGUGUAGUGGUGAGAUACGUAGAGAUUGGGAAGAACACCAGUGGCGAAGGCGGCUAUCUGGACGGUUUCUGACGCUAAGACGCGAAAGCGUGGGGAGCAAACAGG
rnacentral:rRNA from 1 species